UAACCUGCCCUGAGUGGGGGAGUAACCAAGGGGAAACUUUGGCUAAUACCGCAUGAUACCGAGAGGUCAAAGGGGGCUCGCAAGGGCUCUCGCCAUAGAGGGGUCCGCGUCCGAUUAGCUAGUUGGUAGGGUAAUGGCCUACCAAGGCGACGAUCGGUAGCCGGCCUGAGAGGGUGAUCGGCCACACUGGAACUGAGACACGGUCCAG
rnacentral:rRNA from 1 species